ensembl:lncRNA
GCUAAGGAAAUAUGUGAAUCCUCUCUGUAGCAGAGCAGUGGGACAUUCUGCUGCAGUUCUCUUUGAGAAUACAAGAGGAAGCUGUGAACUCCAUGUCACAGUGAUGGGACAGUGGAACAAUAACGCUAGACUGAGAAACCAAUCUGAAUCUACUGAAGUUGUUUGUGCACUCUACAAAACACAGGAAUUAAAACUAGAAAUUUGAAUGAGACACUGUGGAAGAAGGUUCAGAGGUAAUAAUAAAGUGAAGUGCUCCACGAGGCGGCAGAAGCACUUUCAGAGACUUCGGAUCCUCGACAACAUGAAACUGAUCAAAAGAUGUAGAAACCUCGGAAGAAAACAACAUUUCACAUCAAUAGUAGAGGCUGUGGACAGACAAUGACUUUAGAGACGGACAUCUGCUCAAGGACAGGUAAGACUUUUAACUUAUGUUUUGCAUUGUGAACCACACAUGUAGGUUACCAUCACUUUCUUUUUGGAGGGUCACCCCUCUAGAAAGCAAAUGAUGGUAACCUAAAUGGGUGGGGAAGGGACAGCGGUUCAAAAUUUUUAGACAGCUAAUUUUUUUUUCUGUCAAGAAACAUAACCCCUGCUGGACAUGGUGCUGGAGCUCAGGGGGGGACCCGAAUCAUCCCCACCUCUUCAUUCACACAACACUCACUCAUAUCACAGAGACCUGGCUGGGAUUGAACCAGCAACCUCUGAACCGUGAGGAAGCGCUCUNAUGAAGUUAUGUAAGAAAUUUUUUUUUUUUUUAUUUGAUAAAGUAUGCAUUUUAUUUCCAGGCUUUUAUGGCUGUUGUAAAUGUUUAGAGCCAGCAGAUGUCAAUGUUGUCCAUUUACUCAUUUCCCUUUCCCUACAUUUUAUUUCAUGCACAUUUUCAAUUUUAGUGUGGCAUUGAUGCAUCUUUUUUCCCCAGACUAUGUAGGUUUAAGAACAUGAAUCACCUGAUCAUUUUUAGCAUGUAAUCUGUGCAUAUAACUUCAGUAUUGCAAGUGAUGCUUUUUUAAUAGGACAGUCAACAGUUAUGGGUGCUUUUGAAACACUGCUUCAUUUAGAUUCGAUUUUUUUGUUUGAAUCAAUGAUUCAGAGCAUGAGACAGACUGGUCAAGUCAUGUGAUUUCAGCAAAACUUUGAAACAUUCCGUUAAUCUGGUGAAACCAUUGACCAGCGUCUGAUUAAUAUAUGGUUUUAACUGAUCUCAGGUCCGAUGUAUAAUUUAGGGUUUAGUUUAAUGACAAACACUCGUGUAUAUAAUGGAAAAAUGGUGAGUAAUAGUUAAAUGUAAUUUGCCUGAUUACCCAAGCCCUUACAAAAACAUACAAUACAAGAAUAAAACAACACCAAUUAUACA